AGUGAGUUUUACUGUUUUUUUUUUUUUUUAAUUCGUGUUGCGCUCCUUAGCAAGAUUCUAAGAUUUACGUAUAUAAUUAAAGAUUUUGAAGAGAUUGUCUAUAAAAAUAUCAGAAUGGAUGAUAAAUGCAUACAAAGGAAAGAGAUCCAAGUCAACAUUAUAUAGAAGCUUAUCAAAGUAUCAACAUCCUUUCAAUAUAACAAGAACACAUCAAAAUAUACGCUCUAUCUAAUAACAAUAUUUUCUCUCUUUAGUUCAUCAAUAUAGAACACAUUAACAGUCGUAAUUUCUCACUACUGUUAACAUUCUUUUCGGUGUUUGCCGGAAUGAAUAGUGUCGUCUUUCUCAGUUGCAACAGUGAAUUCCAGCACACUAGAGAAAUCGAGCAUACAAUUAGUAUUUUCCGUCAUAUGUCGCUUAUCUGUUAAAAAAUGGCAAUCACUUUAAUCUGAUCUAGAGUUAUUCUACGAUGUUUUCGAUUUAUAAUUAAGCAAUUGCGUCACGCUGUCUAAAUUCCGCGAGCUGUAGCGUGGCUUGAUGUUCUAUGAUGAAUGUCAGCCAAACGUCACAACAGUUUUACCUGGUGUGACGUUUGAUUGACAUAACAAACCACGAUAUCAAUAACAGACGCCAGAUACGCUUCCACGGCCAACGACACUACUCAGCUGUGGUUAGGAGUGACGUCACAGAAGCCACCGCCCGUCCCGAAAAUAUCCCGCGAUCGGUUUUCGAAAGACGCGUCUACGUCCCGUUUAAUAUCGCAAACGAUAUAGUUGGCGCGUCGCCUAUCUUACCUCGUGUCUUCCUGACGCCGAAUGAGCGAUAAAUGGGAUUCUCGACCCACCAUCGUAUUUAUAUAUCAUUCAUCUCGGGUGCAUCACACGAUCGACGCGAUUUGUUGUGAUGUCAUAUCCAAAAUGGCUUCCGGUUCGGAUUGCCAUCGGAAGCGAGUACGCAUCUCCCGAUUUUUUGGAAAAUAUUUGAAGAGGACCCCUCUGAGAAUCGGAAGCCCUCUUUCCGAGAAGAUCAACGACCCGAUAAGCAUCGCGUGUGCGUUUUUCCCAGAAAGAGUUGCCAACUAUUGACAAUUCCCACUGGCAAAGAUCUCACUGUGCAGAUCGGAAGUCAAGGCCAUCGCGCUAAUCCAUAUCGGCAUAAUCUAGAUAAGCCCUAAUCGUCAAAACGAUACAAACAGAACUUAUAACAACAACAAGAAAUGACUGACAGAAUUUUCGCGCGUGAAAAUAUCACAAAAUUCACUGUUGGCCAUGCCGAGUCGUGUUUUUAUCAAUAUCUCAAUAAAAAAAACAUUAAGAUUACGCAAUUUUUUUUUUCGGUAUGAUGCAAUGGAAAAUAUUUAUCGUCACUCAAUCGUUAUCAGUGAGGAUCUCUUACGUUCUUUAUUUUAAAUAUGAAAGGAAUGAAAAUAUUUAUCAUAUCAAAUUUAUCAAUUGAAAGAAAACAUUUUUUUUUUAAUCUAUACGAAAAUUUUUUUAAUAAAUAUCCAUAGAUAAUAUAUCGAAAUGUUUAUCGCGGGAUGACAACCGCGUGAUAAUUUUUCACAGGAAUAUAUAUCGUAGUUUUCUUGGUCACUAUGCUAAACAGAAUGAUUUUAACUGUAGAAUAAAACAAAGUCGAUGAAGAGUUUUCUACACAUUUGUUUUAACAUGCGUUGCGGAAGUCAAAUGCACAAUUCUUUUAUUAUAAAAGACUAUCUGGCAGGCAUUCUUAACAUUUCUUCCCCUUAAGUGAGCACCUUUUGACACUUAAAUCAUAGCGUGAGUGCUCUUAAGUGAUAGUGAGAAAAAUACUUUCUAAAGAGCAAUGCCCCGAACACUAGGUUAAGAAUUCCUGCUAUAUAGUUUAAAUUUUGAGAAUAUAUUGGAAGGCUAACGUUCUAAUUUAUUUUUUAAUUUUAUAAUUACACGCACUAAACGUAGACAAGAGUUAUUUUUACGUUAAAAAAAAAAAUCAUAAAUGGAUCAACGAUUAUGUUCGAAUGUUCCAUUUGACCCCGUAUUGCAUUUGCCAAUUUCUAAAACGAAAAAAAAAAAAAUUAGAUCCGAUUAUCUGGUAACAAACUUUGAUAAUCGACAACGUAAAUUAUGAUAAAAUGAUCAGUAAUAAAUGUUACGCGAUUGCGUCACGAAAUUUAAGGAGGCGCGUAGUUUUCGCUUUCUUUGAUACCGCGGAAGAAUGCGAGAAAAAACGCCAAUCGAAUUUUAAGUUUGGAUAAAAUCCAUUGGCCCAGUAAAAAAAAAAAAAUAGUAUGGCAUCCAUCGAAAAAAAAAAAAAAAAUUGAUUUUCGCACUCAAAUUUUACCCCGAGUAAAAUUGUAACGUGGAAAACCGCCAU
rnacentral:lncRNA from 1 species